rnacentral:rRNA from 1 species
GGGUGACUGCGUACCUUUUGUAUAAUGGGUCAGCGACUUAUAUUCUGUAGCAAGGUUAACCGUAUAGGGGAGCCGCAGGGAAACCGAGUCUUAACUGGGCGUUAAGUUGCAGGGUAUAGACCCGAAACCCGGUGAUCUAGCCAUGGGCAGGUUGAAGGUUGGGUAACACUAACUGGAGGACCGAACCGACUAAUGUUGAAAAAUUAGCGGAUGACUUGUGGCUGGGGGUGAAAGGCCAAUCAAACCGGGAGAUAGCUGGUUCUCCCCGAAAGCUAUUUAGGUAGCGCCUCGUGAAUUCAUCUUCGGGGGUAGAGCACUGUUUCGGCUAGGGGGUCAUCCCGACUUACCAACCCGAUGCAAACUACGAAUACCGAAGAAUGUUAUCACGGGAGACACACGGCGGGUGCUAACGUCCGUCGUGAAGAGGGAAACAACCCAGACCGCCAGCUAAGGUCCCAAAGUCAUGGUUAAGUGGGAAACGAUGUGGGAAGGCCCAGACAGCCAGGAUGUUGGCUUAGAAGCAGCCAUCAUUUAAAGAAAGCGUAAUAGCUCACUGGUCGAGUCGGCCUGCGCGGAAGAUGUAACGGGGCUAAACCAUGCACCGAAGCUGCGGCAGCGACACUAUGUGUUGUUGGGUAGGGGAGCGUUCUGUAAGCCGUUGAAGGUGGCCUGUGAGGGUUGCUGGAGGUAUCAGAAGUGCGAAUGCUGACAUAAGUAACGAUAAUGCGGGUGAAAAACCCGCACGCCGGAAGACCAAGGGUUCCUGUCCAACGUUAAUCGGGGCAGGGUGAGUCGACCCCUAAGGCGAGGCCGAAAGGCGUAGUCGAUGGGAAACAGGUUAAUAUUCCUGUACUUGGUGUUACUGCGAAGGGGGGACGGAGAAGGCUAUGUUGGCCGGGCGACGGUUGUCCCGGUUUAAGCAUGUAGGCGGAUGUUCCAGGUAAAUCCGGAGCGUCACUAACGCUGAGGUGUGAUGACGAGGCACUACGGUGCUGAAGUGACAAAUGCCCUGCUUCCAGGAAAAGCCUCUAAGCAUCAGGUAACAUCAAAUCGUACCCCAAACCGACACAGGUGGUCAGGUAGAGAAUACCAAGGCGCUUGAGAGAACUCGGGUGAAGGAACUAGGCAAAAUGGUGCCGUAACUUCGGGAGAAGGCACGCUGAUGGUAGGUGAAGUGACUUGCUCAUGGAGCUGAAAUCAGUCGAAGAUACCAGCUGGCUGCAACUGUUUAUUAAAAACACAGCACUGUGCAAACACGAAAGUGGACGUAUACGGUGUGACGCCUGCCCGGUGCCGGAAGGUUAAUUGAUGGGGUUAUCCUCGCGGAGAAGCUCUUGAUCGAAGCCCCGGUAAACGGCGGCCGUAACUAUAACGGUCCUAAGGUAGCGAAAUUCCUUGUCGGGU